GAGACCAGUCCACUCACAACUCGCGCAAUGUCAAAGGUUCUGGCCGUUAUCUUACUCGCAGGCGUCACGCUAUACUCAGAGGCCAGAGUGUCGGAAGCCCAAUGCAGGCAGAUGCCGACCAAAAACAAACACUGCCAUUUGGAAUACGGGACUUGGCAGCGAGAAUCCGACCACGUCAUUAGAUACAUCUUCGACUGGGGCGGGCAGCGCUGCGUGGCGUGGCACUGGUGGACCGACCCGUCUCGCUGCUCCUUACCGGUCGAUGAGAACAACUUUGCAACCGAGAGGGAAUGCCUCGCCGCCUGUACGGGC